rnacentral:rRNA from 1 species
AGGGCACCACCAGGAGUGGAGCCUGCGGCUUAAUUUGACUCAACACGGGAAAUCUCACCAGGCCCGGACACUGGAAGGAUUGACAGAUUGAGAGCUCUUUCUUGAUUCGGUGGAUGGUGGUGCAUGGCCGUUCUUAGUUGGUGGAGCGAUUUGUCUGGUUAAUUCCGAUAACGAACGAGACUCUAGCCUGCUAAAUAGCUCGUUGGAUGGACUUCGGUCCGUCUGCGCUAGCUUCUUAGAGGGACAAGUGGCGUUCCUAGCCACGCGAAAUUGAGCAAUAACAGGUCUGUGAUGCCCUUAGAUGUCCGGGGCUGCACGCGCGCUACAAUGAGGGAGCCAGCGUGCCUGCCAACCUGACCCGGAAGGGUCGGGCAAUCAUUUCAAAUUCCCUCGUAACUGGGAUUGGGCAUUGUAACUAUUGCCCAUGAAUGAGGAAUUCCUAGUAAUCGCGAGUCAUAAGCUUGCGUUGAUUACGUCCCUGCCCUUUGUACACACCGCCCGUCGCUACUACCGAUUGAA